rnacentral:rRNA from 1 species
AUGUAUAGCGAAAGCUAAUUGUAUUUAACAUAGCGAAAGCUAAGUUGAUGCAAUAUUGACUAUGUUAAAUAAAGUUCUAGGUAGAAUUAUGAUGAUGACAUUGUCUAUCUAUGUGUCUUGACCAAAUUACGUGCCAGCAGUCGCGGUAACACGUAAAAGACUAGUGUUACUCAUCUUUAAUAGGUUUAAAGGGUACCUAGACGGCCAAUCAAGCCCCCCCCAAAAGGGUACUAAUAGGCUAGAGUUUAAUAUAAGGAGGCAUGAAAGUACUGAGAAUGUAGAGAGAUGAAAUUCUGUGAUACUAUAUACGGCACUGGUAAAGGCGAAAGCAUCUUAUUAUGUAAUAACUGACGUUGAGGGACGAAGGCUGUGUGUAGCAAAAAGGAUUAGAUACCCAAGUAGUCUCAGCAGAAAAUGAUGAAUGUCAUAGGAUAGAUAAAUUUUGUACUAUAAAUGAAAGUGUAAGCAUUCCACCUUAAGAGUAAUUUGGCAACAUUGGAACUGAAAUCAUUAGACCGUUUCUGAAACAAGUAGUGAAGUAUGUUGUUUAAUUUGAUGGUCCGCAAAAAACCUUACCACAAUUUGAAUAUAAAAAUUUUUAUACAAGCGCUGCACGGUUGUCUUCAGUUAAUGUCGUGAGAUUGUGGUUAGUUCCAUUAAAUUAACGUAAACCCUUACUUUAUUUCUAUAUAGAGUAGUUCACCGCCAUA